UACAGAGGGGGCAAGCGUUGUUCGGAAUUACUGGGCGUAAAGGGCGCGUAGGCGGCCUUCUAAGUCGAACGUGAAAUCCCUGGGCUCAACCCAGGAACUGCGUCCGAGACUGGGAGGCUAGCAUCCGGGAGAGGGAUGUGGAAUUCCAGGUGUAGCGGUGAAAUGCGUAGAUAUCUGGAGGAACACCGGUGGCGAAGGCGGCAUCCUGGACCGGUAUUGACGCUGAGGCGCGAGAGCGUGGGGAGCAAACCGG
rnacentral:rRNA from 1 species